rnacentral:rRNA from 1 species
UACGGAGGAUGCAAGCGUUAUCCGGAAUGAUUGGGCGUAAAGCGUCCGCAGGUGGCUAUGUAAGUCUGCUGUUAAAGAGUGAGGCUCAACCUCAUAAAAGCAGUGGAAACUACAUGGCUAGAGUGCGUUCGGGGCAGAGGGAAUUCCUGGUGUAGCGGUGAAAUGCGUAGAUACCAGGAAGAACACCGGUGGCGAAAGCGCUCUGCUAGGCCGCAACUGACACUGAGGGACGAAAGCUAGGGGAGCGAAUGGG